rnacentral:rRNA from 1 species
ACGGAGGAUGCGAGCGUUAUCCGGAUUCAUUGGGUUUAAAGGGUGCGUAGGCGGCUUUUUAAGUCAGUGGUGAAAUCCUGCCGCUUAACGGUAGAAUUGCCAUUGAUACUGAAGAGCUUGAGUCCAGUUGAGGUAAGCGGAAUGUGUAGUGUAGCGGUGAAAUGCUUAGAUAUUACACAGAACACCAAUUGCGAAGGCAGCUUACUAAACUGUCACUGACGCUGAUGCACGAAAGCGUGGGGAGCGAACAGGAUUAGAUACCCUGGUAGUCCACGCCGUAAACGAUGUUCACUCGCUGUUUGCGAUACACAGCAAGCGGCCAAGCGAAAGCAUUAAGUGAACCACCUGGGGAGUACGAUCGCAAGGUUG